rnacentral:lncRNA from 1 species
AUGAAGUGAGGUAAAUAAUGCAGGCAUUGUGAUGUAGCAUUAGGCUACUAUUGAUCUUCUGAUCAUAUGUCAGAAGGAGGAUCAUCUGCUGUGGGUGUUCCUGAUCUUUGAGCCAUGAUAAUGUUACUGGUUGGAUGUCAGGAGCAGGCCAUGUGGAUGAUUAAAAGAUGAAUAUCAUAUACAGCAUGGAUAUGUUGGACAAAAAGAUGAUUCACAUCCCAGACAGAAUGGAGCAGCACAUUUAUUAAAAGCCAGAAGCUAGAAGACGAGGAAAGAAGAGGUGGUUAAAGAAAGAUACAGUAACAGCAGUAAUAUCUAACAGGAAGGCUACAGGGGAAAAUACAGAAAUUCCAUAAAGAACAAACACUGUAACUCAAAACCAAAGCUUUGCUAGUCACUAGUGCCCGCUACAUCCUAACAGACAGCCUACUGCCUAAAUGUCCAACCUGUGACCAGGCCUCCCUUCCACAAGAAGCUUGUUGAUACUGGCAGACACCCUGUGGCUCUUGCCUGACCUGUGUGCAGUUUAUUCCUACCAGGAUGGCCGAUCUCUAGGAGAGUCUUGACGGAGAAAGAA